GACGAACGCUGGCGGCGUGCUUAACACAUGCAAGUCGAACGCUGAAGCUCAGCUUUUGUUGGGUGGAUGAGUGGCGAACGGGUGAGUAACACGUGAGUAACCUGCCCCCUUCUUUGGGAUAACGCCCGGAAACGGGUGCUAAUACUGGAUAUUCACUGGUCUUCGCAUGGGGGUUGGUGGAAAGGGUUUUUCUGGUGGGGGAUGGGCUCGCGGCCUAUCAGCUUGUUGGUGGGGUGAUGGCCUACCAAGGCUUUGACGGGUAGCCGGCCUGAGAGGGUGACCGGUCACAUUGGGACUGAGAUACGGCCCAGACUCCUACGGGAGGCAGCAGGGGGGAAUAUUGCACAAUGGGCGCAAGCCUGAUGCAGCGACGCCGCGUGAGGGAUGGAGGCCUUCGGGUUGUGAACCUCCUUCGCUCAUGGUCAAGCCGCAACAAUGGUUGUGGUGAGGGUAGUGGGUAAAGAAGCGCCGGCUAACUACGUG
rnacentral:rRNA from 1 species